CGAGUUCGAGAUUGGUAAAUUCUUCACCCUCCCAGCCCAGCCCAGCCCAGCCAGACCCACUUUUACUUUCUGUAUUUAAAACUAAUUUUUUUUUUCUGUAUGUAUAUAAUACUGGUCUAAAUAUACGCAGGAAUGUAUGUAAUGGUAGUCCGUGGGUAUUUUGUUCGUACCGAUGAUCUCCCCAUGAUUAAGGUAAAUCCCCAAUUUCAAGCAUAAUCAUCAAGAAAAUAUAAGAUACAUACAUGUCUGAUUGAAACAAUAUCAUCAUCAUCAUCAAGAGUCAAAAACUUUUGAGCAUUCUUUGAUCAGUUACUAAAUUUACCCCUCAUCUGGUGAGCAGAUUAUUAUUAUACCUCCCAAUAUAUACCCUGAUCUGAUCUGGUGAGCAUAUUAUACGCCUUAAUGUUGUCAGCACACUUACUAUUUCUUCCUUUAUUUGUUGUAUUGGAAGUAAAAUUCAGCAUAACUUGAGGAGAAUGAUGGUUUGGACUUGUUUUAACAAGUUAUAGGUAGGAAGAAGUAUGGUACAACCAAGCUUCCCAAACUAAUGACCAGGGCUUUAAAAUAGUGCUUACGAAAUGAUAAAAGGAAUUUAUUAACACUAAUUAUGUCGGUCUUUCAACAAACGGAGCUCAGGCAAUAACAAAAUUAUGGAGAUAUUUAGAACAUGAUAUGUGGUUCUUUUCAGUAAAAGUUGCAGUAAUAUUGGUUUACCUUUACUGGAGUUGUUUCACAACAAUUCAGGCCAUUUUGUCUUUGAAUUUCAGGUUCACAAAAUUGUUGACCUUUCCCCAUAUCCCGAUCGAGAGGCAAUGUGGUAUCUAGAAGUCCUGGAGGCUUACAAACUUUUCUACGGGCCCCUACUUGAAGAAUGAUAGAAGGGAGCAAGGUUGGGAGAGAGAGAGUCACUUCUAGUGUACAUGAUAGAAGGAAUGUAAACCUUAAUCUUUUUGUUUCAUAUGUAGCAUCAAUAGAAACUUAAUGCAUCAGCCAGUCUUGUUACUACUUACUCCAUUUCCAUUACGGUUCUAAUUGCACAGUUCAAUUCAACCGGUAUGAGCUCAUACAUAGAAUUAUACCAUCUUUUAAUAUGGCAAAACCCAAGUUUCAUUACAGUCGAGUUGAGAGCCCAACAAAAAGAGUUCACAUGCUCAUCCGCUUCAUUGGAAUGUCGUACUAUAAAG
rnacentral:lncRNA from 1 species